GCACAGGUGAGGUGGAGGUGGACAGGUGAGGUGCACAUGCUGGACACGGAUGGACAGGUGAGGUGGACAGGUGGGAUGGGUGGACAGGUGAGGUGGAGAUGGAGAUGGACAGGUGGGAUGGACAGGUGAGGUGGAGAUGGACAGGUGGGCGUGGAUGGAUGAACAGGUGGGAUGGACAGGUGGGAUGGACAGGUGGGAUGGACAGGUGGGAUGGACAGGUGGGAUGGACAGGUGGGAUGGACAGGUGGGAUGGACAGGUGGGAUGGACAGGUGGGAUGGAGAUGGAUGGAUGGACAGGUGGACAGGUGAACAGGUGGGAUGGAGACAGCCAGGUGUGCCAGCCAGG